GGUUGACUCCAGGAGAGAGCAUGAUGAGGAGAGGCACGCUGUGGGAGGUCGCCGCAAAGAUGACUUCGAAGGGAGGGGGACCAAAGUUCAUGAACGAUUGACAUAGCGCGUGGACGACCAACUGCUGAACGGCGGAGAUGACCUGAGACGCAGAGAGAGUAGGGAAAGAUGCGAAGAGAAAGACGCAUGUGGGUCCUUCUAGAUGCCUCAGAAAAGACUUUAAAACGAGGUGUGGUCAGGCAUGUCACGCGGAAAACAAUCACGCUGGUAUCAGCUCUUUUCGAUCGAGUGGUUUGCUCUCCAAGUCUCGCCUCCACUGCAACCACGUUGGGCGCUUUCUGCGACGCGUUCUUCUGCCUGUCGGCUGCGAGUGGCUUUCACGAGGAGAAGUUGCGGAAGAUACUUUCCCUCGUCCGACAGUCCUGGGAAAGAAAAGGGCGUCUCGUGGAGACUCAUGUCGCCGUCGACCCAGAGCAACCAGGCCUCUUUGUGGUUCUCGGUGUGAGCACACAACCCCGAGAAAAAUUUCAAGUUCGUCGCCAGAAAAUACACGUUUUUCCAUUCCUGGUCCGAAAACACAGAAGGCAAAGGGUUGGGUGGAGGCCUGUCUCCUCCGACGUUCGAAACGCCCGCAAAAAGACAUGCCAAACCUGCAGCAGAAGCCAAACCUUGCAGACGAGAAAACGAGAACGGCACACCAAGAGAACUCAACAUACAGGAGAACUCUUAUUCCUCUUCGAGGCGCGAGCAGCUCCUCAUGCGUGUGUCGGCGUGCGUCCGUUCCCUCCGUCCCUCUCUGUUGUCUUCAACCACACACGUGGCGGCGUGAAGGUACUUUCCGAGUGCACAGACGGCUAGGACUCUUCACGGAGAUGCAUUACUUUUCGGGUCAGGCACACGUGGUCCCUGAAAGCGACCGCAGAAGCAUGAAAAGCGGUCACCUGUACAUGCCCAUCUAAGCCUUUGAUUCCCCGCGUAAACUCCAC
rnacentral:lncRNA from 1 species